UGAGGAAUCUUGCGCAAUGGGGGAAACCCUGACGCAGCAACGCCGUGUGAGUGAUGAAGGUUUUCGGAUCGUAAAGCUCUGUUUGAAGGGACGAAACGUAUUUGAUUAAUACUCAAAUAACUUGACGGUACCUUCAGAGGAAGCACCGGCUAACUCCGUGCCAGCAGCCGCGGUAAUACGGAGGGUGCAAGCGUUGUUCGGAAUUACUGGGCGUAAAGGGCGUGUAGGUGGCUAAUUAAGUCAGGUGUGAAAUCCUUCCGCUUAACGGGAGAAGUGCACUUGAAACUGCUUAGCUAGAGUACGGGAGAGGAAGGUGGAAUUCCUGGUGUAGAGGUGAAAUUCAUAGAUAUCGGGAAGAACACCGGUGGCGAAGGCGGCCUUCUGGCCCGAUACUGACGCUGAAACGCGAAAGCGUGGGGAGCAAACA
rnacentral:rRNA from 1 species